CAAAGUUCACAUAUGAUGCUUCAUUACUUUCGUUCUCCUGACAAAACUUGAUGUCAUCUUUUAACUGACUUAAAAUAAGUAGCACUGCUAUUAGAAGUUUUCAUGAAUUGUUGCUAUAUCAUUUCCAUAUAUGUUUGACAGGGUGUAAGCUGUGAGGUCCAGAUACUGCAAGAUUUCAUCUUUGUUGAUUUUUGUUACAAGACUCUGCAGUUAAUCAGCAAUAUUAGAUGUGACACGGAUCCGCAUUUUGCAGAUCCAUGGACUUCCAGCAAAAGUUUAUUAAAAAAAAAGGUGUUGAAAUCCAAAUUCUGCAAUGCAAGAUCUACAUCCUGCAUGUGUUGCUAGAGUCCACGGGAUGCAAGUAUUGAGAUCCAGAUCCUGCAAGGCCUAUUCUUUUUGGAAAUGGGGCAUUGGUUACAAGACUCCCCCUACUAUCAUUCAGCAGUAUGAGAGCAACAUGGAUCUGCAUUUUGCAAGCCAUACUGAAGAAUUAAUUGAAGAAUAAGGUGUUCCAGUAAAUAUCUGCACCAUGAGGCUGACUCUUCAAGUGAUACUGCUGAAGUUGAAAUGGUAGGAAUGGGAUCCAUUUGAUGAAAUGGCUGCUCUUCCUGGGAUGAAUGACUAAGAUGUUGCAGGGACUUAAAGGUUAUCCAUGUAGCCAUUGCAACAGCUGCUUUGGUCAUUCAAGUAGAGGUGUUUGGAAUAUGGGUUUUAAUUUUGAUCAUGGAGGAAGCUGACCAAGCCUGUGGAAAAGACCAGUGAUUUUUCAUCAUGGUGUGAAGAUACUGAUGCUGAUGUAAAUGAGUUGCAGUACUAUUUGUCGUGUAUGUAUCCCUGAUCAUAGUGAAGGUUGCAGUGUUCCUGAUCCCUCAAUACCUCCUUGACAAACAAGUGGAUCUGCAAUUUUGCCAUUCCUUUAUAGAUGUGUUGAUAUUUUCUACUCUGAUGCUGUAAAUAAACUGUAUUGCCUUAC